AGUGAAGUUGCGCGGAAAAUUACCGGGGCUAAACUAUACACCGAAAUUGCGGAUUCAUGAGUAAUCAUGAGUGGUAGAGGAGCAUUCUAUAGUAGGACGAAGGUAGAUCGAAAGGACUGCUGGACGAGAUAGAAGAGAGAAUGCCGGAAUAAGUAGCGAAAGCAUGGUGAGAAUCCAUGCCAUCGAAAGUCUAAGGUUUCCUGGGGAAGGUUCGUCCGCCCAGGGUAAGUCGGGACCUAAGGAGAGGCCGAGAGGCGUAUCCGAUGGACAGCAGGUAGAAAUUCCUGCACCACCGAUAUACUUAAAAGAUGCAAGGGACACAGGAGUGGAAGGAAAGCGAGGAAGAGGAAAAACUCGUAUCGAAAGAUAUAGUGAAAAAAGAAGUAACGAAUUUCCAAGAAGCACACUGGCGAGAAAAGCUUGUAGAAAUUGUAUAAAGGUGCCCGUACCGCAAACCGACACAGGUAGAUGAGGAGAGGAUCCUAAGAUGAGCGAGAGAAGCAUUGUUAAGGAACUCGGCAAAUUGACCCCGUAACUUAGGGAGAAGGGGUACCAAUGUAAAAGUUGGUCGCAGAGAAGAGGCCCAAGCAACUGUUUAACAAAAACACAGGUUUCUGCUAAAUCGAAAGAUGAAGUAUAGGAGCUGACGCCUGCCCAGUGCUGGAAGGUUAAGGGGAGAGGUAAUCCCUCGAGGAGAAGCUUUGAACCAAAGCCCCAGUGAACGGCGGCCGUAACUAUAACGGUCCUAAGGUAGCGAAAUUCCUUGUCAGGUAAGUUCUGACCCGCACGAAAGGCGUAAUGAUUUGGGCACUGUCUCGACAAUGUACCCGGCGAAAUUGUAGUACUAGUGAAGAUGCUAGUUACCUGCGACAAGACAGAAAGACCCCAUGGAGCUUUACUGUAGUUUGAUACUGGGUUUCGAUAAUUUAUGUACAGGAUAGGUGGGAGACAGAGAAGCAUAUGCGUCAGCGUAUGUGGAGUCACCCUUGGGAUACCACCCUUAGAUUAUUGAAAUUCUAACCUGUGGUCGUAAACCGGCCAGGGGACAAUGUCAGACGGGCAGUUUGACUGGGGCGGUCGCCUCCAAAAGAGUAACGGAGGCGCGCAAAGGUUUCCUCAGCGCGGACAGAAAUCGCGCGAAAGAGUGCAAAGGCAGAAGGAAGCUUAACUGAGAGACUGACAAGUCGACCAGAUACGAAAGUAGGUCUUAGUGAUCCGGCGGUAGUGAGUGGAAAUGCCGUCGCUCAACGGACAAAAGUUACCCUGGGGAUAACAGGCUUAUCUCCCCCAAGAGUUCACAUCGACGGGGAGGUUUGGCACCUCGAUGUCGGCUCA
rnacentral:rRNA from 1 species